GGGAUUAAAAGCGCAAUUAUCCCAAGUUUCUGAACGCAACAUGUAAUAACCCAAAUUUGAUCGGGCCUUGAAACCCAAAACCAAAAUUAAAUAAUAAUAAAUAAAUGUUUAUUUGUUAAACAGUCCCUUUACAGCCUAAAAGUUAAAACCUACACUCGGUAGCCCAAAUACCCUUUAAACUAUCCCUUAACCCGUUACACCCUUGACCCAUUACAAUUGCAACCUUAGCCCAAAUAUACCCGAAGCCCAGACCUAAACUGGACCCGAAUAACAGAGGCCCAAAAAAACCCAAAAUAUUCAGCUAGGGUUUUCAACCCUAGCUCUUUCCCCUCGCGCCGCAACAGUUUCUGGAAGCUUCGGGGAGCGUCGGUGCAACUCCCAAGAUCGAGGCCAUCAAUGCAUACUGACGCGCCAUCAAUGCGUCUGUUCCUCUCGUGACCGUCCAGCACCGCGAUCUCAGGCCUCCCCUCUAGCCUUGGUACCACCGUUAACGCCGAGAUCAUUAGGAUACCUGCAAGAAAAGGAAACACAGCAGAUACGAAGAACAAGAAAAAGAAACUAAAAGAAUUUUAGCAGAUCGCGGUCAAAGACACAAAACAUAGAAAGAAAUCGAAGAUUUCUUUCCUAUUUUUUUUGUAAUAAACAACGGCUAUAAAAAGCCUUUGUAACCCUUGUAAGAGGGGGAUACGGAAAUAAAAAAAAAGGAUACAAACAGUUUCAAAGGUGAUUCUUGUUUUUAUAUUUUUGCCUUUCAUUUCUCUAUUUUCAGUAUAGAAGCAUAUGAAUAUUUAUAUAUAUAUGUACACAAAAAUAACUUAAAAAUAAAAGAAAAGGGUUACCUGACGGAUGGCACGAAAAAGGAGAGGUUUUUCGAACCCUGGCUACCGUAUACGGUGGUCCUAGGGCGGCGUGUGGGCGCGUGGGCGAAGUGUGACCAACGGAGGCCAAAGCCCAGAGCUCCCUUCCUCUCUCUUUCUUUCAGAGAGAUUUUUUUUAGUUUUUUUCUAAAACGGGUUUCAAACGAACUAAAUGUUGAGGAAUUGGCUUUUAUAGCCUAGACAAAACGGCAUCGUUUGUGACCCCAAGGAUCCGCGCGUUGACCCGAUUGCCCGGGUAGGAUCCGCGCUUUUUUGCAAAAUGGGUUAAUUUCCCAAUCGGUCCUUCUACCCCUUUAGAGUUUACGAUUAAACUCUUUUUUUAUUUAUGAUUCGGCCCUAUUAUUUAUUUUAGUUUUAAUUUGGUCCUGACAGUAGUUAAAUUUUAUUCUGGGAAAUGUCGCCGUUUUGGGAAUAGGGCAAUUUGCCCAGUGAGUCCCUCUAAUUUUGCGCGCGUUUUAAAUAGGUCCUUAAUUAGUUUUAUUCCUUUCAAAAUUUGCCCCAUAAUUUUGUUAAACUUUAAAUUUAGUCCUAUAUUUAUUAUAUUAUUCUAUAUAUAUAUUUUAUUAUUUGUUUUAUUUUAAUUUUACUUUUAUAUUAUAUAUUAUAAAAUUAUUUUAUUUUAAGUAUUAUUUUUAGUUAUAUAUUAUUACUACUUAUUAUGUAUUAUUUUUCUUAAAUAUUAUUUUACAUCUCUUUUAUAUAUUAUUAUAUUUUCACAUAUAUUAUAUUUAUUAAUUAUUUAUAUAUAUAUUGUUUUAUGUGUUACUUUAUAUUAUAUCUAUUAUUUUUCUUAUAUGUUUAUAUUACAUUUUAUUAUAUAAUCUUUAUUAUGUUUCAUUUUUAUAUUACUUUUUUUAUAUAAAUGUUAUGUAUAUCAUGUAUCGCAAAUUAUAUUAUUUAUGUUUAUAUUAUAUAUUUAUUAUUUUAAAAAUGUAAAUUAUUAUUAUUAAAUCAUUUUUUUACUCACAUUAUACACACAUUUCAUUUUUUAUUUAUUUACUAUAUAUGAAUUAUUUCAUUUUAAACUAAUAUUGUUAUAUUAUGAAAUCUCUUACAUACUCUCAAACUAAUAUAUUAUUAUAUAAUUAUUAUUCUUUUUAUUAUGUUAUUAUAUUAUAUAUUAGAUACUAUUUUUAAAAUGGAAAUGAAAUAUCUCGUUUUUUAAUUGUAUGCAAUCAAUCAUUUUUUAUUAGUUCUUCUAUAUGUUUUGUAUUGUAUAUAUAAUGCAUGUGUUAAAUUUUUUUUAUAAUUAUAUGCAUAUUGACAUUACAUUUAUUCUAUUUGUAUAUCAUGCGUUAUUUGAUUAUGUUUGUUUUUAUAUCAUGCAUCAUUUAAAUAAUAUCUCAUAUGGUUAUAUAUCUUGUUUAUUCAUGCUAUAUAUCUUUGUUUGCAUUUUUGUGCUUUAUAUGUAUUAUUCUUUAUAUCGUAGUAUUCAUUUUUUAUUAUUUACCUAGUAUAAUAAUAUAUUAUUAUGAUUUAUAAUGCAAUACAAUUCUCCACGCAUCAUCUUUAAAAAGACAAGUCUCCAAAAUUUUCAAAAAAAUAUAAAGGCAAUACUUGGUGUUUGGAAAUUUCGAAAAAGUAGUCCCUAACUUAUUGGGUUGCAACCUUUCUCGUUAAGUUCGAAUAGUCAAGUACCCUUCUAAAGUUUUUGAAGGAUUUCAAAAUAUAAGUGACUGUCUUGGAAUUGCAAAGUGAUAUGUCCUAACUUACUCGAUGUAGCAUUUUGCUGUUUUGAAAUAGAGAUUUCUAAAGGCUAACCUAUAGUCGAUACUUUGAUACAAGUAAACCCAAAUUUUCAAAUACUUUAAAGAGGAUUACAUCUUAAAAUUUUUAAAUUUCCGACAUUAAAGACAUUUGAUAAUCAAUUAGGUACCAAUUUUUGGGCGUUACAAGGGUGCUAAUCCUUCCUCAUACGUAACCGACUCCUGAACCCAUUCUUUUAUUUCGUGGACCAAAACUAAUGAUUUUAAAACAAAAUGUUUUAAAGGUGAUCCAAUCACACCUAAAAAGAUUGGUGGCGACUCCCAUUUUCGUUUUUUUAAAAUCGAUUCUCAUUUUCCAAAACUCGAUUUGAAAAUGGUUUCGACAGCUUGGCGACUCCACUGGGGACUAAUAAGAGAGUCAAGCCAUGUAAUUGAUUAUCUCUUGUCUUAAUGUCGGAAAUUAAAAAUUUUAAAAUUUAAUCUUCUUUGCAUUACAUGUGUUUGUGUUCUUGCAUGUGUUGCUAUAUUCUAAUACGCAUUGCAUUUGCAUGACCGUUGUGGUCACACCCUUAAGUGGGAGUGAGAAGCUACGCCUUCGUGAGGUUUUCGCCUCCGUGCAGGAUAGUGGAUCACUUUCGGGAUACAUCCGUACCUAUGGUUUCGUGAGAUUUUCAUCUUCGUGUAGCCAUAGGGAAAUGUAUUCCCCUGAACUGAACUCGAUUCAAAUGAACCUAUAAUGGGUGAGGAUCGAGGAAUCUGCUGGUUCGGGAACCUCAAACUUUAGAACCAACCUCAUAUAGAAAAAACUGUAAGAGCCCAACUUAGUUAGAGUUAAACUUUAGAUAUUACCCUUAUAAAUUAUUGUUGAGAUUUAUUGAUAUCAUGUGAUACUGACUAUUUCUUUUCUUUUGUUUGCAUGACAUUUUGCAUUUACAAAGGUAUCGAUUCACGGUCAGUUUCUAAGUUAGAGAGUUUUAUUAUGGAGAACGGACUUCUUGAUAGAGUGGAGGGCAAUGCCAACGUCCAUAGAUGGUCUGAGCAAACUCAGUUAGAAAAGGGAGAUAGUAUAGCUGCGGGAUAUAUGUCGGAGCUGUCAGGAUAUACUCGCAUCGGUGUCACGCAGAAUAAUCUCCAAGAGCUUAAAGAGAUUUGGGAUCAAUGGGGCAACGAGACUAAACAGUUAUUCUACGGUAAUUACGGAGAUUUACCUUACUUGCUCGAUGUUCAAACAGAUGAGCACUUGUUCCGAGCCCUCGCUCAGUUUUGGAAUCUAUGGUACAGUUGCUUUACUUUUGGGGAGGUAGACUUGGUACCUACCGUAGAGGAAUACACUGCCUUGUUACGUUGUCCCAGGUUCCAGGUUGAUAGAAUCUAUUCUCGAGCUGUUAAUGUCCCUACCUUUUGGAAGAAAUUGAUGACUAUUACAGGGAUGAGUGAGCAAUGGAUUACUGCCAGAAUUAAAGAGAAGGGAGAGUGCAAGUGCAUUUCAUGGGAUGCUUUGAAGGAUCUGAUUUUGAUACACCCUGAUGAAACAAAAAGGGUGGAUGUUUUUGCCUUAAGUUUGUACGGAUUGAUGGUGUUCUCUAGGGCUUUGGGAUAUGUGGAUGAGGCAACCACGGAUCUUUUCCAUAGACUCAGUAAGAGGGUCACCUCUGUCCCUGCAAUAUUGGCAGAGACAUUCAGAUCCUUAGGCGCAUGUAGAAAAGCUGGCGCAGGCAGGUUUGUUGGUUGUGCACAAUUACUUUUAGCUUGGUUCUAUAGUCAGUUUCGGUUGAUAGAUAAUGUCAUUUGUCGGGUUUUCUUCGAGGAUUACUCACCGCUGAAGGACAUAGUCGCUUCAAUUAGGAGAGUUGAUGUUCCAGAAGAGAAUUGGAUUGCACUACUUCAAAAUCUUCAGUCGAAAGAUGUUGAGUGGAGAGCUCCGUAGAUGAUUCCUGGUGAGGUUCUUUACCGUUGCGGCAAUUUCAAUUGGGUCCCUUAAUUGGGAAUUUGGGGUGCCAUUGGUUAUGCUCCCUUGUUCGUGUUAAGGCAAUUCAGUUUGAGGCAGUUCGUGCCAGCAACUCAUGGGCUAACUCAAAGUGAGUUUGCAUAUAGAGGAGCCGAUUACAAGAAAAGGGUCGGUGAGAUCUCUAGCGCUUGGAAUAAGACGUGCCGGUUGAAAGGAGUAGCUAUUGGCCCUGCUACGACUCCAGAAUAUGUUGAAUGGAGAGGUAGAAUGAUCAAUGAUAACAUUCCUGAGCCAAAUAUAGAAGGAGCUCGACCGAUGGAGGAAUAUCUGCAAGUGAUGCCCUCGGAGUUAGAAAUUAUGAAGCAAGAAUUUGAGAGGAAAAAUCUGGAGCUCGAGAAAAGGAUAGCAAAGCUUGAAGAAGAAAAGAUGUACUUGAGUUUAGAUAUUGAUGUCCAGAAGAUGGAGGUCGAAAAAGAAAGAAAGGAAAAGAGGAAGAUUGAGGAGGAUAGAGAUGACUUGAAGGAACACUACAAAAAGGCACAGGUAUCCUUGAGAAGAGCGAAAGUAGGAGGAUCUUCAGAUCAGUUGCAGAAAGAGGUCCAAGAAGGCAAGGCUAGAGCUGAGCACUGGGAGAAGAGGUUUCAGGAGAUGCAAUCGCGGAAUUUGGCAUUAGAAGAAAAGAAUAAAGGGUUGAAGUCUAAAGUAACUGAGCUUGGAAGAUCCCUUCGUUGGCAUCGCAACCAUGAUUCUACGGUCGAGUUAAAGGAGCUAAAGAGUAAAGUUGAAGAUUUGGAAGCAGCAUUGCAGGAAGGUAAACUUCAGAUCGAGCAACUCGAGGCGUAAGGAGACUAUCUAAAGAGAGAGCUUCAUCAGUCUAGAGGGCAGAUUAGAGAAAGAGAUCAUGUCAUGGAAUAAGCCAUAGCUCAGAUUCGAGAGGUUGCUGAAUAUGUGCAAGACUUGGCUGUACGAGCCGACGUAUUGAGUAUGAUGUGUGGGUCGUCGUCAGACAUAGGAAGAGAGUUAGCCCUUUUAUUAGAUAGAGUUAAAACUUUGGGCAUUAUGGCGAAAGCAUACUUGUAAUCCAUUUAUAUGUAAAGAUAUUCUUUUUCUAAAUAAAGUUUUCUAAAUGAGAUUGAAUCGAGAUUGAUGCCUUUGCUGCAUUCAUACAUUUGCAUUAAAUCAUAUCAUAUGCAUUUAAGGUUAUAGAAAGACUCUAAUUAGUUAAAGUUUCUUUAUAAAGGUAGAAAAGAAAACUAGAAAUUACACAUCCUUACGGCACUCGCACUAAAACUAAGAACAUGGAUCAAAGGUUUGAACAGUUGCAAAAGGAUAUGCAAGACCAGUUACAAGAGCAGUUGGCUAAGAUGCAGAAUGAGAUGAGGGAACAAAUGAUGGAAGCUCAGAGGAAUAUAAUGGCCGAAAUGGCUCAGUUACUGAGGGCCACUGAUAAAGGAAAGGCUCCUAUGGCCAUCACUGAAGAGGAAAAUGAGGGUCCUCCUCCAGGUUUUACACCACCGCAUGUAUCAUUGCAAACUGAGGCACCUCCUAGAAGGCCAUCUACUACUGUGAGGCCUCAGCAUGGACCAAUUGAUGCUGGUGUCCAUGUGAAUUUCCCGAUUGGUUCAGGACUUAAUAUGGGUGACAAUCUUACUAAUCCUCUUGUUCCCGAUCUAUAUAUGGUGGAAAAAGAGGAUUUGAAGGUCGAAGUUGCAAGGCAAUUGGAUGAACACUGCAGAUGGUUAGAAGAAAAGUUCAAGGCCUUGGAAGGCACUGGCAACAAUCAUGGGGUUGAUGCCAAGGACUUAAGUCUGGUCCCAAACCUAGUAUUACCUCACAAAUUCAAAAUGCCAGAAUUUGAAAAGUACAAUGGCACUACUUGCCCAGAGGCCCACAUCACAAUGUUUUGUAGAAGGAUGACGGGGUAUGUAAACAAUGAUCAGCUGUUGAUCCAUUGUUUUCAGGAUAAUUUGAUAGGAGCGGCAGCCAGAUGGUACAAUCAGUUGAGCCGGGCUAGAAUAAGUUCAUGGAGGGAUCUUGCACAAGCCUUCAUGCAACAGUACAAUCAUGUAACAUAUAUGACCCCUGACAGGAUUACCCUGCAAAACAUGGAGAAAAAGCCUAAUGAGAAUUUUAGGCAAUAUGCACAGAGGUGGAGGGAGGUAGCAAUGCAGGUUCAACCACUACUGUUGGAGAAGGAGACCACUAUGUUAUUUAUUAAUACUCUGAAAGCCCCAUUUAUUACUCAUAUGAUUGGAAGCACUACUAAAAGUUUUGCGGACAUAGUUAUGGCAGGAGAGAUGAUAGAGAAUACCAUAAGAGGAGGAAAAAUUGAGGGGGAAGUAGUCAAAAGAUCAGCCCCAAGAAGAAAAAACAAUGAGGUAAACAAUACAAGUGGUUUUAAUUCAAAAGCAGUCACAGUUAGCCAGCCCAAAGUAGCCACAGUUAGGCAACAAGACUCUCAAAAGCAGGAAUCCAACACUAAGCAUGAGAGGAUGCAAUUUACACCUAUACCUGUGACAUAUAGGGAGCUCUAUCAGAAUCUAUAUGAUGCGCAUGCUAUAGCCCCUUUCCACUUAAAACCAUUACAACCUCUGUAUCCUAAAUGGUAUGAUGCAAAUGCCAGAUGUGAGUAUCAUGCUGGAAUAUCGGGGCACUCAAUCGAGAAUUGUACUGGAUUCAAGAAAGCUGUAAAGAGGUUGAUCAAUAAUGGGGUUUUGAAAUUUAAGAGUACCCAAAAUACUGAGAAUUCUUUGCCGAACCAUGACAAUCAGGGAGUAAAUGCCAUUGGUGAAGCCGCUGAAAAAAGGGAAAAGGAAAAUGUUGAUGAGAUAAGGAUGCCUAUGAGGGUAAUCUGGGAGGAGAUGAUGAAGAGAGGUAUGUUAACCUCUAAAAAUACGAAAGAAAGAACGUGGGAUUACGGUGAGUUCCAUGAAGAUUGCGAGGAAUUCAAGACCUUGGUGCAAGGCUUCAUAGACAACAAAGAGCUACAGGUUUAUGAAGGUAGCUCUAGUGAAAAGCAAGUUUGUGUGCUGGAAAAUGAACAGCAAAGAACCGGUAGACCAAUGAUCAUUAUCUCCCUACCAGGGAAUAAUGAAAUGGGGACACCAGCAGCGCCCAAGGUUAUUAUCCAUACACCUACUCCUUUCCCUUACAAGGAUAGCAAAAAAGUACCAUUGAGUUAUGACUGUAGCGUGACGGUGCCGGGAGAAGGAAGCAUAGCCAGUGCAUCUAAGGAUGUAUGAGAUGAAGGUUCCCAUACGCGGAGUGGAAAGCGUUAUGAUAUGGGGGACGUCAGAGUGGAGCCCACAAAACCCAAGAAUGUUGAAAUUGAGAAAAAGAGUGAAGUAUCUGUUAAUGAGCCAGUAAGGGAAGAGAAAACUAAGGAAUUUCUAAAGUUCCUUAAGCAUAGUGAGUACAGUGUGGUCGAGCAGUUGCGUAAGCAACCAGCACGCAUAUCGGUUUUAGCCUUACUACUAAGCUCUGAAGUGCAUCGAGAAGCAUUGUUGAAGGUACUCAAUGAGACAUAUGUUACUCAUGAUAUAUAUGUCAAUAAGUUGGAUAGGUUGAUAAAUAACAUCAAUGCUGAUAAUUUCAUCUACUUCAAUGAUGAUGAAAUUCCACCUGGGGGCAUAGGGUCAACUAAGGCUUUGCACAUCACCACUCGUUGUAAAAGAUACACGCUUCUAAGUAUACUCGUUGAUAAUGGGUCCGCUUUGAACGUCCUUCCAUUAUCCAUAUUAAACAGAUUACCCAUUGACAGUUCGCACAUGAAGACGUGUCAUAAUGUGGUAAGAGCCUUUGACGGAACUGAAAUGAAAGUAAUGGGACGAAUUGACAUCCCUCUAGAGAUUAGACCAAAUAUGUAUGAAGUUGACUUCCUGGUAAUGGAUAUCAAGCCCUCCUAUAAUUGUUUGUUGGGGAGGCCAUGGAUACACUCGGCAGGAGCGGUGCCUUCUUCACUGCACCAAAAAUUGAAGUUGGUGACGGAUGGACGCUUGAUAACCAUCAAUACAGAGGAGGACAUCAUAACAGCCGUCACUAGUAAGCCUCCUUAUGUGGAGACAGAUGAGGAGGCUAUUGAGUGUUCUUUUCGUUCCUUGGAAAUUGUUAAUGCUACCUUCAUUUCGGAGGGAAACGAGGUGCCGGUUCCCAGAAUGUCUAGAGCAACAAGGAUGGCCCUGCAAAUAAUGAUGGGGAAAGGAGCAUUGCCAGGAAAAGGACUAGGAAAAUAGUUGCAAGGAGGGAUUCAAGUCCCAAAAUUGACGGAGAAAAAGAAUCGCUUUGGUUUGGGUUUUAAGCCAGACCAUAAACAAAAGAGACAGGAGAUGGAAAAGCGUCAAGCAAGAAGGAAGGCGCGUUUGAACGGAUGAGAAGUAGAGUGGGAACUGAUGACAUUUCCACCUAUAUCCAAAACCUUUAAGUCAGGAGGGUUGCUAAUAGAAGAGAGUCAUCAAAUCAAUGUUGUACAUAGUAAGUGGUUUGGACAAGAAAACCUUGAGGGUAUUCACCCUUACGAAUCGGGGAGCUCUCUGAACAAUUGGACUGCGGAGGAUCUUCCUGUAGUCUUUAGAAAUUUUUCAGAGUAAUUCUCAAAACAUGUUUAUUACUCUAGGGCCUAGGAGUAGUAAGAUUACAUUUGCGAAAAUAGGCUUAUGUUCAUCUAUUAUUAUUCAAAUAAAACAUAACUUUUACCAAUUUAAAAGAGUAUUGUCUCAUUUUUAUCAACCAAUAUUCCUUUAAAUUCUAACAAUUCUUAUUCUUUUAUUUAUAGCACAUAAACGAUCAUUCUCAAAUUCAUUCAUUUUUUGUAUAUUCUUUCAUACCCCUCACUGGUCUCUAGAUAUCAAUGAUAUGAGCGCUACUACUGCCGCUCCUGAUUUCUCCUGUGAGCAAGACAUGUGUUUAGAGGAGUUUCAGGAUUUUGAAGAUGUUCAAGAUUGUGAUGUAUCUCUUGAUCUAUUAAGAAUGGUAAAACAAGAGGAGAAACAAAUCAUGCCACAUGAAAAAGAGGCAAUAGAGAAUAUAGCCUUAGAGGAAGGGAAGGAGGUAAAAAUUGGAACACUGAUCGCUAAUGACACAAGAUGUAGCUUGAUUGAGUUGCUUCAGGAAUUCAAGGAUAUUUUUGCAUGAUCUUAUCAGGAUAUGCCCGGAUUGAAUACUGACAUUGUAGAACAUCGUCUUCCGAUAAGACAAGAAUGUAGACCGGUCCAACAGAAGUUACGAAGAAUGCUGCCAGACAUUGUCCUGAAAAUAAAAGAUGAGGUCAAGAAGCAGUUUGAUGCAGGAUUUCUGCAAGAAGUGAAGUACUCUGAAUGGGUAGCUAAUAUUGUACCAGUCCCUAAGAAAGACGGGAAAGUACGAAUUUGCGUUGAUUACAGAGAUUUAAACAAAGCAAGCCCAAAGGAGAACUUUCCUCUGCCACACAUCGACAUUUUAGUAGACAACACAGCGGGAUAUUCCUUGUUCUCCUUCAUGGACGGCUUCUCAGGAUACAAUCAGAUAAAGAUGCAUCCAGAGGAUAUGGAUAAAACUACUUUUAUAACAUUGUGGGGCACCUUUUGUUAUAAAGUGAUGCCGUUUGGGUUGAAGAAUGCAAGGUCAACAUACCAACGAGCCAUGGUAAACUUGUUUCACGACAUGAUGCAUAAGGAUAUUGAGGUAUACGUUGACGAUAUGAUUGCCAAGUCGCGAACAGAAAAAGAACACAUUGAGGUCUUGAGAGGAUUGUUCUUAAGGUUGAGGAAAUUUCAGUUGAAGCUCAAUCCGGCAAAGUGCACUUUUGGAGCUAGAUCGGGGAAGUUAUUAGGCUUCGUAGUCAGUGAAAAGGGAAUUGAAGUUGACUCAGACAAGGUCAGAGCCAUACGGGAGUUGCCUCCACCACGUACUCAAAAAGAAGUUUGAGGAUUCCUAGGAAGGUUGAAUUACAUUGCUUGGUUCAUUUCACAAUUGACUGAGAAAUGUGAUCCUAUCUUUCGUCUCCUCAGAAAGCACAAUCAAGGUGCUUGGGAUGAAGAAUGCCAGAAUGCUUUCGAGAAAGUCAAGCAGUAUUUGUUGAAUGCUCCAGUGUUAUCUCCGCCUAGUCCAGAUAAACCGUUAAUACUAUACUUGUCAGUGUUCAGCAAUUCUAUGGGAUGUGUGAUGGGUCAGCAUGACGAGUCAGGGAAAAAGGAAAAGGUAAUUUAUUAUCUCAGUAAGAAAUUCACUGACUGUGAAAUGAGAUAUUCGCCAAUCGAAAAAUUGUGUUGUACAUUCAUUUGGACCACAGGGAGAUUAAGACAGUACAUGCUAUACCAUACUACUUGGCUCAUAUCAAAAUUAGAUCCAUUAAAAUACAUGAUGGAAUCAACGGCUCUAAAUGGUAGAAUGGCGAGAUGACAAAUUUUGCUUUCAGAGUUCGAUAUAGUCUAUGUAACUCAAAAGGCUAUCAAAGGAAGUGCGGUGGCAGACUUCUUGGCCAGUAGAGCUUUGGAGGAUUACGAGCCAUUGAAUUUUGAUUUUCCAAAUGAGGAGCUAAUGUGUAUAGCAGCAACUGAAUAUUCGCCAUGGAAGUUAAAUUUUGAUGGGGCUUCUAAUGCAGUCAGAAAUGGAAUUGGGGCAGUCUUGGUAUCCUCGAAUGGCGACCAUUACCCGUUCACGUGCAAGUUGGAUUUUGACUAUACAAAUAAUAUGGCUGAAUACGAAGCAUGCAUAUAGGGCUCCAAGCGGCCAUAGAAAGAGGCAUAAAAACCCUAGAAGUAUAUGGAGAUUCUGCGUUAGUAAUCUAUCAGCUAAGAGGUGAAUGGGAGACAAGAGACCCUAAGUUGAUCAAUUAUCGAAUGGUAGUUUUGGGGUUACUAAAGAGUUCGAUGACAUCACCUUCAACUAUCUCCCACGAGAUGAGAACCAGAUGGCAGAUGCUUUAGCGACCUUGGCUUCGAUGAUUAAGGCAAACAAAGAGGAAGAGAUGAGACCAAUUCAAAUGAGUGUCUAUGAAUUCCCAGCUAGCUGUUGUAACCUUGAAGAGGAAGAAAAGGGUGACAAUCCUUGGUAUCAAGAUAUAUAGCGAUAUGUAAGAGAUCGUAAAUAUCCAGCACAUGCAUCUAAAAAUGACAAACGAACCCUGAGAAGAUUAGCUUGUGACUAUGUUUUGGAUGGAGAUGUUCUGUACAAGAGAAGGAAAGACCAAGUACUUUUGAGAUGUGUUGAUGCUUUGGAAGCCAAGCUAAUUCUAGAAGAGUUCCAUGAGGGUGUAUGUGGUACGCAUGCAAAUGGGUUCACGAUGGCAAGACAAAUCAUGAGGUUUGGCUAUUACUGGACCACUAUGGAAGGAGACUGUAUCAAUUAUGCCAAAAAAUGCCAUAAAUGUCAGAUUUAUGGGGACAAAAUUCAUAUACCUCCCUCACCUUUACAUGUCAUGACGUCUCCAUGGCCAUUUUCCAUGUGGGGCAUGGACGUCAUUGGACCAAUAUCGCCGAAAGCUUCGAAUGGACAUCGGUUUAUUUUCGUAGUGAUUGACUACUUUACAAAAUGGGUAGAAGCUGCUUCUUACGCAAAUGUUACCAAGUCAGCUGUAAGUCGAUUCUUGAAGAAGGAAAUCAUUUGUCGGUAUAGAAUGCCUGAGAGGAUCAUAUCCGACAACGCAUUGAAUUUGAACAACAAAAUGAUAGCAGAGAUUUGCGACCAGUUCAAAAUCAAGCAUCACAACUCUUCACCCUAUCGUCCAAAGAUGAAUGGGGCAGUGGAGGCUGCCAAUAAGAACAUUAAGAAAAUAGUGGGAAAGAUGACUGAGACUUAUAGGGAUUGGCAUGAAAAGCUACCGUUUGCACUCUUGGCUUAUCGAACGUCUGUUAGAACUUUUACUGGAGCAACUCCGUUCUCGUUAGUUUACGGGAUGGAAGCAGUUUUACCUAUUGAAGUGAAAAUACCUUCUCUCCGAAUUUUAACAGAGAUAAGGUUAGAUGAAGCCGAAUGGGUUUAGUCUCGAUAUGACCAGCUAAACUUGAUUGAGGAAAAGAGGCUGAAGGCUAUCCAACAUGGUCAGAUGUACCAGAAGCGUAUGAUGCGAGCUUAUGAUAAAAAGGUUCGUCCAAGGGAAUUCCGUGAGGGGGACCUUGUGCUAAAGAAAAUCCUUCCCAUUCAGAAGGACUUUAGAGGAAAAUGGAUGCCAAAUUGGGAGGGGCCAUACGUCGUGAAGAAGGUUUUUUCUGGUGGUGCAUUGAUUUUGACAGAAAUGGAUGGAAAAAGCCUACCCAAUCCGGUGAAUUCAGACUCAGUCAAAAAGUACUUUGUCUAAAAGCGAAAAGAAUCCAAGGUGAAAACCCGCAAAGGGCGCCUUGAAAAAAAAAUGGAGAGGCCAAAGUGAAAACCCACAAAGGGCACCUUGUGACCAAAGGGAUUUUGAGUUGAAAACCCGAAAGGGCAGCUCAAAUUUUGAAGGGCAUACAGCAACCUUGCUAUAUUUGACUUGACAGAGAGUGAGGCACAGUGUACAUUGGGGCAUCAACAAAGUACUUUGGAUCUUUUAAAUACAUGUCGAACUCAAGAAAGGCUUUGGGGAACUAAUGUAUAGAUGCUCAAACGGUAAUAUUUAGAGCAUCUGAUGUUUAUCCUGUUCGCUAUCUUUAGAUUCUAUUUCUUCUUAAAGAUAUGCUAUCAUCCUUAUUUUCUUUGUACUGUUAACAAUUCGAAUCCAAUUAUUCUCAAAGAUUUACUCAUCUCCCGAUAUUUUUAAAGUAUGUUGCAUUGAAAUAUUGAUAGAUGAACUAAAAUAUUUUCACAAACGAAGUUUUGCACAUUACUUUGGAAUUUCUAGAUAAUACAAGAAACUAAAACAGGACAAUUGUUCGAGAAAUUCAUGUAAGUAAGGGAUGAAGGAACUCGAGGGAUUUCUUUCUUCCAGUCCAAAAAGAAAUGGAUGGUUCAAUUCUUACAGACAUCCUCAAUAGAUCAUAGCAUUGGAGGAAGGCCUACAAGCUGAGUAAGAAUAAAAUUUUGAGAAAGACAAAUGAAGGAAUGAAUGAUGACACCUGAGAUAGGGGUCAUAUUCACAGCACUUUGCAUCAUAACAUGUUUGAUUCAUUUCAAUCAUAGCAUACUUAGGCAUAGGUACAUACUCAUCUUACAGGUCAUGUCCUCUAGGGAACAAUGAAGAUCAAAGAUUUCAACAUGGCAUCCCUGUGCUUAUGGGAAAUAAAUUGAAGACAGCAGAUCUAGACUUCAGACAUUUAUGCUGAAGCAGAUCCAAGAUGAUUUGGUAUUCUUGUGUUUACAAGAAACAAAUCGAGGACAUAGCAGAUUUAACUCUCAGAUGUUCUCAAAUAUAGCAGAUCUAACUUUCAGAUGUUUAUACUGAAGCAGAUCCAAGAUGAUUUGAUAUUCUUGUGUUUACAAGGAACAAAUCGAGGACAUUGCAGAUAUGACUCUCAAAUGUUCUCCAACAGACUCAAGAUGGUUUGGUAUCCUUGUGCUUACAAGGAACAAAUCGAGGACAUUGCAGAUAUGACUCUCAAAUGUUCUCCAACAGACUCAAGAUGGUUUGGCAUCCUUGUGCUCACAAGGAACAAAUCGAAGACAUUGCAGAUAUGACUCUCAAAUGUUCUCAAAUAGACUUAAGAUGGUUUGGUAUCCUUGUGCUUACAAGGAACAAAUCAAGGACAUUGCAGAUAUGACUCUCAAAUGUUCUCCAACAGACUCAAGAUGGUUUGGCAUCCUUGUGCUUACAAGGAACAAAUCGAAGACAUUGCAGAUAUGACUCUCAAAUGUUCUCCAACAGACUCAAGAUGGUUUGGCAUCCUUGUGCUCACAAGGAACAAAUCGAAGACAUUGCAGAUAUGACUCUCAAAUGUUCUCAAAUAGACUUAAGAUGGUUUGGUAUCCUUGUGCUUACAAGGAACAAAUCAAGGACAUUGCAGAUAUGGCUCUCAAAUGUUCUCCAACAGACUCAAGAUGGUUUGGCAUCCUUGUGCUUACAAGGAACAAAUCGAAGACAUUGCAGAUAUAACUCUCAAAUGUUCUCAAAUAGACUCAAGAUGGUUUGGUAUCCUUGUGCUUACAAGGAACAAAUCGAGGACAUUGCAGAUAUGACUCUCAAAUAUUCUCAAACAGACUCAAGAUGAUUUGGCAUCUUUGUGCUUACAAGGAACAAAUCGAGGACAUUGCAGAUAUGACUCUCAAAUGUUCUCAAAUAGACUCAAGAUAAUUUAGCAUCCUUGUGCUUACAAGGAACAAAUCGAGGACGUAGUAGAUAUGACUCUCGAAUGUUCUCAAAACAGACUCAAACUGAUUUGGCAUCCCCACAAAUCGAAGAAGCAGAUUCGACAUCUCUAUGAUCGGCGGGGAGCAGAUCAAAGAUAUCAACAUAGUAGUCAUAAAAUUGAAUUCCAUUAUUUGAUAAAACCAGUCAAAUUGGGUCUUUCUAUGAGUCUUUGCUUGAUUCCUGUUACACAGCAAUAAGCAAAGAGGGGCAGCUGUAAUAACCCAAAUUUGACCGGGCCUUGAAACCCAAAACCAAAAUUAAAUAAUAAUAAAUAAAUGUUUAUUUGUUAAACAGACCCUUUACAGCCCAAAAGUUAAAACCUACACUUGGUAGCCCAAAUACCCUUUAAACUAUCCCUUAACCCGUUACACCCUUGACCCAUUACAAUUACAACCUUAGCCCAAAUAUACCCGAAGCCCAGACCUAAACUGGACCCGAAUAACAGAGGCCCAAAAAAACCCAAAAUAUUCAGCUAGGGUUUUCAACCCUAGCUCUUUCCCCUCGCGCCGCAACAGUUUCUGGAAGCUCCGGGGAGCGUCGGUGCAACUCCCAAGAUCGAGGCCAUCAAUGCAUACUGACGCACCAUCAAUGCGUCCGUCCCUCUCGUGACCGUCCAGCACCGCGAUCUCAGGCCUCCCCUCUAGCCUUGGUACCACCGUUAACGCCGAGGUCAUUGGGAUACCUGCAAGAAAAGGAAACACAGCAGAUACGAAGAGUAAGAAAAGGAAACUAAAAGAAUCUCAGCAGAUCGCAGUCAAAGACACAAAACAUAGAAAGAAAUCGAAGAUUUCUUUCCCAUUUUUUUUGUAAUAAACAACGGCUAUAAAAAGCCUUUGUAACCCUUGUAAGAGGGGGAUACGGAAAUAAAAAAAAGGAUACAAACAGUUUCAAAGGUGAUUCUUGUUUUUAUAUUUUUGCCUUUCAUUUCUCUAUUUUCAGUAUAGAAGCAUAUGAAUAUUUAUAUAUAUAUGUACACAAAAAUAACUUAAAAAUAAAAGAAAAGGGUUACCUGACGGAUGGCACGAAAAAGGAGAGGUUUUUCGAACCCUGGCUACCGUAUACGGUGGUCCUAGGGCGGCGCGUGGGCGCGUGGGCGAAGUGUGACCAACGGAGGCCAAAGCCCAGAGCUCCCUUCCUCUCUCUUUCUUUCAGAGAGAUUUUUUUUAGUUUUUUUUUAAAACGGGUUUCAAACGAACUAAAGGUUGAGGAAUUGGCUUUUAUAGCCUAGACAAAACGGCAUCGUUUUGUGACCCCAAGGAUCCGCGCGUUGACCCGAUUGCCCGGGUAGGAUCCGCGCUUUUUUGCAAAAUGGGUUAAUUUCCCA
rnacentral:lncRNA from 1 species